rnacentral:rRNA from 1 species
AAAUUGAAGAGUUUGAUCAUGGCUCAGAUUGAACGCUGGCGGCAGGCCUAACACAUGCAAGUCGAGCGGUAGCACAGAGAGCUUGCUCUCGGGUGACGAGCGGCGGACGGGUGAGUAAUGUCUGGGAAACUGCCUGAUGGAGGGGGAUAACUACUGGAAACGGUAGCUAAUACCGCAUAAUGUCGCAAGACCAAAGUGGGGGACCUUCGGGCCUCAUGCCAUCAGAUGUGCCCAGAUGGGAUUAGCUAGUAGGUGGGGUAACGGCUCACCUAGGCGACGAUCCCUAGCUGGUCUGAGAGGAUGACCAGCCACACUGGAACUGAGACACGGUCCAGACUCCUACGGGAGGCAGCAGUGGGGAAUAUUGCACAAUGGGCGCAAGCCUGAUGCAGCCAUGCCGCGUGUGUGAAGAAGGCCUUCGGGUUGUAAAGCACUUUCAGCGGGGAGGAAGGCGAUAAGGUUAAUAACCUUGUCGAUUGACGUUACCCGCAGAAGAAGCACCGGCUAACUCCGUGCCAGCAGCCGCGGUAAUACGGAGGGUGCAAGCGUUAAUCGGAAUUACUGGGCGUAAAGCGCACGCAGGCGGUCUGUCAAGUCGGAUGUGAAAUCCCCGGGCUCAACCUGGGAACUGCAUUCGAAACUGGCAGGCUAGAGUCUUGUAGAGGGGGGGUAGAAUUCCAGGUGUAGCGGUGAAAUGCGUAGAGAUCUGGAGGAAUACCGGUGGCGAAGGCGGCCCCCUGGACAAAGACUGACGCUCAGGUGCGAAAGCGUGGGGAGCAAACAGGAUUAGAUACCCUGGUAGUCCACGCCGUAAACGAUGUCGAUUUGGAGGUUGUGCCCUUGAGGCGUGGCUUCCGGAGCUAACGCGUUAAAUCGACCGCCUGGGGAGUACGGCCGCAAGGUUAAAACUCAAAUGAAUUGACGGGGGCCCGCACAAGCGGUGGAGCAUGUGGUUUAAUUCGAUGCAACGCGAAGAACCUUACCUGGUCUUGACAUCCACAGAACUUUCCAGAGAUGGAUUGGUGCCUUCGGGAACUGUGAGACAGGUGCUGCAUGGCUGUCGUCAGCUCGUGUUGUGAAAUGUUGGGUUAAGUCCCGCAACGAGCGCAACCCUUAUCCUUUGUUGCCAGCGGUCCGGCCGGGAACUCAAAGGAGACUGCCAGUGAUAAACUGGAGGAAGGUGGGGAUGACGUCAAGUCAUCAUGGCCCCUUACGACCAGGGCUACACACGUGCUACAAUGGCAUAUACAAAGAGAAGCGACCUCGCGAGAGCAAGCGGACCUCAUAAAGUAUGUCGUAGUCCGGAUUGGAGUCUGCAACUCGACUCCAUGAAGUCGGAAUCGCUAGUAAUCGUAGAUCAGAAUGCUACGGUGAAUACGUUCCCGGGCCUUGUACACACCGCCCGUCACACCAUGGGAGUGGGUUGCAAAAGAAGUAGGUAGCUUAACCUUCGGGAGGGCGCUUACCACUUUGUGAUUCAUGACUGGGGUGAAGUCGUAACAAGGUAACCGUAGGGGAACCUGCGGUUGGAUCACCUCCUUACCUUAAAGAA